rnacentral:rRNA from 1 species
CUGCAGCUCAAUUGGUGACCACUAUUAUUGGGCCUAAAACGUUCGUAGCCGGUUUGGUAAAUGCCUGGGUAAAUCGUGUAGCGUAACUAUACGAAUUCCGGGUAGACUGCCAAACUUGAGACCGGGAGAAGCUAGAGGUACUCCUGGGGUAGAGGUGAAAUUCUGUAAUCCUGGGGGGACCACCAGUGGCGAAGGCGUCUAGCUAGAACGGGUCUGACGGUGAGGAACGAAGCCCUGGGGCGCAAACCGGAUUAGAUACCCGAGUAGUCC